rnacentral:rRNA from 1 species
AGAAUCAACGCUGGCGGCGUGCCUAACACAUGCAAGUCGAACGAGAAAGUGGAGCAAUCCAUGAGUAAAGUGGCGCACGGGUGAGUAACACGUGACUAACCUACCCUUGAGUGGGGAAUAACUGAGGGAAACCUUAGCUAAUACCGCAUAACACCUACGGGUCAAAGGAGCAAUUCGCUUCAGGAGGGGGUCGCGGCCGAUUAGUUAGUUGGCGGGGUAAUGGCCCACCAAGACAGUGAUCGGUA